rnacentral:rRNA from 1 species
GACGAACGCUGGCGGCGUGCUUAACACAUGCAAGUCGAACGGAAAGGCCCUGCUUGCAGGGUGCUCGAGUGGCGAACGGGUGAGUAACACGUGGGUGAUCUGCCCCUUACUUUGGGAUAAGUCUGGGAAACUGGGUCCAAUACUGGAUAGGACCAUGCUGUAGGUGGUGUGGUGGAAAGAUUAGUUUCGGUAAGGGAUGAGCUCGCGGCCUAUCAGCUUGUUGGUGGGGUAAUGGCCUACCAAGGCGUCGACAGGUAGCCGGCCUGAGAGGGUGGACGGCCACAUUGGGACUGAGAUACGGCCCAGACUCCUACGGGAGGCAGCAGUGGGGAAUAUUGCACAAUGGGCGCAAGCCUGAUGCAGCGACGCCGCGUGGGGGAUGACGGCCUUCGGGUUGUAAACUCCUUUCAGCCAUGACGAAGCCCUUGUGGUGACGGUAGUGGUAGAAGAAGCACCGGCUAACUACGUG